GAGGACUUAGCUUAAUUAAAGUGUUUGAUUUGCAAUCAAUUGAUGUGGGAUGAGUUCUCGCAGUCCUUA
rnacentral:tRNA from 2 species